UACGUAGGUGGCAAGCGUUAUCCGGAAUUAUUGGGCGUAAAGCGUGCGUAGUCGGUUAUCUAAGUCGGGUGUGAAAUCCCCGGGCUCAACCUGGGAAUUGCAUUCGAUACUGGAUAGCUAGAGUUCGGCAGAGGGAAGCGGAAUUUCGGGUGUAGCGGUGAAAUGCGUAGAUAUCCGAAGGAACAUCAGUGGCGAAGGCGGCUUCCUGGACCAGAACUGACGAUCAGGCACGAAAGCGUGGGGAGCAAACAGG
rnacentral:rRNA from 1 species